AAAGGCUGGUGCAGCUGCUUUUAAGCCUUGAUUAACGAAACCAUAGAAUACAAGGGGGGAUAUAGAGCGUAAACCCCAAAUUAUAAUAAGUAACGUAUUUUAACAUGCACGAGUUAGCAAAGAGUGCGUCAAUGACUACUCUAUUUGCUUUAACAAAGCGGUGACAUAACGAAAAGUCAAUUGUACUAAAGACAAGUGUCAUAACGACUAAUAGUGCAGGUUUCCUACAAUGUUGCAACAUGAAAUCAUAUCUGACGACCCAAUGUUUCAUCCAGCUACUACGAGGUUGCAACCAUUUGACAAAGCAUGAAACCCGCAACUACCUAGAGCAACCAAGACACGCAAGGUGCCAAUACGGGGACGAUGCCCACAUCUCCUUAUAGAAAUUAAGCAAUAAAUAGCUAACAUCUAGUAAAAUAAAAUAACAUAAUGCUAGAAAUAUAAUUGCCCUAAAAGGGCUAAAUUUAUUAGCCAAGGCCCAAUGGACCAAACCUAACAGACACCCACUCCUCCUCCCGGCCGAAACUCAUGGCUGCUCUACCCUCCCCACCACCGUCGUCGGGCCUCCACCACGACGCCAUCUGACCAUCGAUUGACAACGUCGAACAUCUCAGUCCACCUAGCGCCAACUAAGACCCAGAUAUCUUGCAACAAGAAUCGGAGCCAACCCUACCAGCCAUCGAUCCACAUCAGCUAAUACAGUGAUCCGAAAUUCGGCCAGCCCGAUCGCCGAUAGCCGCCUGAAGCCGCUCCAACCCUGUAAAGACUCGAUUUCUCUCCGAUCCCAACCCACCUCCAUGAAACAACCACAACUUUCAAUCGAGAUAGAUAGAUUAGGUUACCUUUUGAUUUGAUUCUCCGAGCAUGAGGCACAUCUCCAACAAAAAACACAUGUCCGGCCACAGCCACCAUGCGCCAGUUAGGCCAGAGGCCAUUACUGAUGUCAUGGCGCAGCAGGACAGGCAAAGGAGCAAAAGACGACGUCUCUAGGUUUUUUUUUUUUCUAGAGAGAGAAAGUCUAGGUUUUAUUAAUUAUAAAAUCCUCAAAUUUUUAUACAUUUUUGAUACUUUAAUAAUAAUCAAAUUAGCUGAAAAUUUUGUAUGGAUAAUCAAGUCAUGUAUAUCUAGAUAUUGGUCAGCUAUGAUAAAAAAAUAUGAUCGGAAAGUGGGUCAAAUUAAGAAAAUUCAUAGUUAUCUACGAUAAG
rnacentral:lncRNA from 1 species